rnacentral:rRNA from 1 species
UACGAAGGGGGCUAGCGUUGUUCGGAAUUACUGGGCGUAAAGCGCACGUAGGCGGGUUGUUAAGUCAGGGGUGAAAUCCUGGAGCUCAACUCCAGAACUGCCUUUGAUACUGAGGAUCUUGAGUUCGGGAGAGGUGAGUGGAACUGCGAGUGUAGAGGUGAAAUUCGUAGAUAUUCGCAAGAACACCAGUGGCGAAGGCGGCUCACUGGCCCGAUACUGACGCUGAGGCACGAAAGCGUGGGGAG